GCCGGGAGGGAGGAUAAUAGUGGGAGGGGGAGGGGCGGGGAGCUGCAGGCGCGGCCGUUGAUUGCGCUCCCAGGCGCGAGGAGGAGAAGCAGCAGCGGCGGCGCCGCGAUAGGCGCUCGCUUUACUGGAGGGCGGGCGCGCGCUCCCAGCCGCCGUCACGCAAAGCCGUCACGGCGCGCGGGGGCGGGUGCCGGGGCGCGCGGCGGGGCGCGCGCGCGCCGGCAGGCCGAGCAGGCGCGGCACGCACGCACGCGGGAGGCUGCGUUCGCUUCCGCUCUCUUUCUCUCCACCCCUCCCCCCAUAGCCCCGCCAGAAGCGCGCGCGGGGCCACGCCCACCAUCCGUUUGGGGGGUCGGGAGGGAGGCGGGGGGGCGAUCGCGCUGGUGUACGCAGGCGCGGGCUGGGAUGACGUCAUGGCAUGGGGAGGGGGUCGGCGGCAGCGGUGCGUGAGGGCGCGGCCGGGCCGGGCCGAGCGGCGCUCAGGUACCGACCUGCCUCGUCCUCCGCUGCUGCCCGCCAGCUGAGCACCAGCGGCUCGCCCGGGGCCGACGGCAUAAGGACCGGCGGCCCCGCAUGCUGAGGCCGCGGGGUGCGGGGGAGCGCGGCCUUGGAGCUGGGGGGCGGGGGAGAGAGAGGGGGACCGGCCGCUCUGUCGCUGGGACGCGAAGGCCGCUGCUUAGGUAAAGAGUGGGGUGUUUCAGCUGCACGCACGCGUGGUCUCUGUGGCCUUUGGGAACAAUGCUCAGUCAUAGAAAGAUGAGUUUCAGACACUGGAGCCCUGAUACCACAAGCUUUCCUGCUUUUGCAAGCACUGGAGUCUGACAUAUAUGCAGCGGAAUGCAGAAGGAUUGAGCAUUUUCUGCUUCAGUUGUUACCAUCCAUCACACUUUGCUCAAGUAGCAAUCCUGUGGCCUCACCCAGCUCCCCUUACCCAUGUAAUCUGCCUUCAACAAAAAACUUCCUAACUUCGGUUAUCUGCCAGCCACGGGCAAAACUGGAUCCCUUGUUCUGAACUCUGCUUGCAGUCUCAAUGGUUUAAACCUGGAGAAGAAUGACCGACCUAAACAGAAGUGCUCUGUGCUUACUGGGUAACCGGUGUGAACAUUUGUCACACCAUCACUAGACUUUUCUGUAACAUCUUAACCAAACUCUUCUACGUUUCUGGCUGUGAUCACCAGAUUUACUUUGCAACUUCUAUGGCUAGAUGUGGGCAUCCUGCUCUCCUCAUUUGUAAGCUCGUGCGACUCUACUAAUUCCAGUGGGAACACACAAGAGGUGAUUCCAUGGCAGGUCUGGCCAGCUGGCCUUACUGCUGGCGUGUAUGCUGAGAUACUGCAGAAAUGUUUUCCUGGAGGUUACUAUGUAAGGAGCAUAUCCUAUGUCUGCUUCCUUGGAGACAGUGGUGCAGCUAAAUGAUGGAAUAGGUUUAUAUCCUAUUUCAGAUUCUGGGUGUUUUUUAACAGAUAUUCUGUGUUUUACCUCUUUAGCGCUUUGGUUUGUCUCUUCAGGUUAUAAUACUUGAAUUACUGACUGCAUUAAAAAGAUAUGUAUUGAUUUUCUUCUAUUUGAGUAAUAAACACUUAACCCCAAGCCACCCAUGCUCUGGCAGCAGUGGCAGGGUACUUCAAAAUGGUAACAAUAGGUGCAUCACAAGAUAUAUUCCUCCCUGAUAUUCCAGAGCCCUGUCACCCAUGUGGAGGAUACUUUUGGGCCCUAGAAAAGUACAUAUCACAAAUUCAGGAUACCUAUAUUUUUUCAGAACAGUUUUUCCCACCUACAAAUCCCUGUCCAUAAAUGUGGUACCCACAAAGAAGCAGGUCUCUAUCUUCUCCAGAUAUUGAUCUCAAACAAUGUGCAGGUGUCACGUGUAGGCAGAAAAUUUAGAAGCAAAGGUUGUUUUGCAGCCUGCUGUUACCACAUUUUUGUGUCAAGCCACACCCAGCAUGGGUGUAGGAUGCUGUGGCAGGACGAAGGCCUUGCUGAGAUACUCUGCAGAAAUGGAGCAGGCCAAAGGAAUCAUGUUUAACAUGCAUGUACUCUCAUCUAUACUCAAAUUUCCCUGUCUGGAGAACUAAUUUGUUCCAUGGCAAAGACUAGAUGCAAAAUAUAGCACAUAUGCACUGUGGCAACUGGGAUUUCAGGACCAUGGUUGAAAAAGGGGAGUGCUUUGUCUGGCAGCAUAGAUAUCUCAGUGACUCAUGUCUGAGCACCUCAUGCAUCCUUCCAGGACGGUCCUGCCCGAGAUCAGGCAGCACUCAGCAAAGCAGCUGGAGCAAGAUCUGUCUUACGCACACCACAGUUGUGGACUUCUCUGCUUGAGAUGGAAAUUUCCAGGGAUUUUACUUAGUGUUUUGAGGGGAAUAAAAUGCUGCUUCAGGAGUUCCACACUUUUUGUGGUCUUUGACUUACAUUUUUUCCAUUAAUAGAAUCACAGAGUCAUAAAAUAGUUUGGGUUGGAAGGCACCUUCAAAGCUGAUCUAGUCCAAACCCCUGCCAUGAGCAGGGACAUCUUCAACUAGAUCAGGUUGCUCAGAGCCCUGUCCAGCCUGGCCUUGGAUGUUUCCAUGGAUGAGGCAUCUGCCACCUCUCUGGGCAACCUGUUCCAGUGUUUUACCACCCUCAUUGUAAAAAAAAUCAUCCUUAUAUUUAGCCUGUAUCUUCCAUCUUUUAGUUUAAAACCAUUACCCCUUGUCCCAGCAUAACAUUAUCAUUCAAUCGCCAUCUUCACUUUUUUUCAGAAUGGUACUACCUGUGAUUUUCUCCCAUGUAGGCCAUAUACCCCUCUAUUGAGGCAAACAACAAGAACAAGUUUAUUUCCUAGCAUACUCAUCUAUUAUCUUUUCUUCCAGCUUCCUCUGGGCUCUGAAUCACACUUGACCACUCGCCCUGUUAGGACUCAAAAAAAUCGUGAAGACUUAGUCAGUGCUAAGGUCCAAUUAUUUUAGUUGUGCUACUGAAUAAUGCACUGAAAAGCAAGAUGCCUGGAGUGCAUCAAAGGCCUAGUGAAGGUCUAUAGAGACGCCUGUGUUAUUUUAGGAAGAAAUAUGUGCAGCUCAAAUAAUGUAUUACUACUGCAUUUAAAGAUCUAUGACAUGAAGAGAACACAGGGUGCUUCUAGUAACAGAAGCUUGAGAGCAUCCUUGGCACAAGAAUAAAGUAACUAGCUACAAAGUGUAUGAUAUUUCCAUUAUGAAAUAUGAUAAUCAGUUGGAGAAGCACUAUAAAACAGAUAAGAGACAGGAAAAAUGUAGAUGGAGAUGAAUUUUAGUUUUGAGGUGCUGGGCAAUGAAGUACCUCCAUGAGCUAUGCAAGAACCUGUACCCCAUGCUGCACUUGGGUCUGCCCUCAGCAGGGAAACCUGGGGGAGGGUCUUGCAUUGAGCUGGGCAGCUGGAUGAGGUGAAAUGUGCAUUGUCCCUGCAAGAGAGAGGUUAGAAACAGUUUUGGAGCCACCCACCAUGGUGACCAUCUGCCCUGGGGAUGACAGCAAUCUCAGUGGUGCCCUAGGUGGUGAGGGACAGAGGGGGGCAUGGAGAAGCAGCUUUGGGAAGGUGGCCACCUCUUCAAAUGCAGCUCUGUUAGGCAUCUGCAAGUCAUGGUAGUAGCUCUUCGGCAGAUGGGGUACCAGCACCUGCUGAGCCUGCACAGCAUGCAGCUGGAUGCUGCAGUGUUCAAGGAGUUUUGAAUUCCUCCGUGAAAAAGCAAUGUGUGGAACAGCUUCUGCAGGUUUGAAUUGGUCCUUGCUUGACAGCCAGGAGUGGCUUAUGGUAUUCUUUGAGAAUGAUAAAACCUUUCACAGACCUGUCUCAAGCAUGUGGGAUAUUGCUGUGACCUUGAGGUCUCUGAUGUCAAGUAUGGGUUCACAGUGUGAGAAAAGAAGUAGGUUUGAGGCAGACCCUUGUGCCUCUUGUUCCCCCAAAGCUUCUCAGAAAGGCAGUGAGGACCAAGCUGCACUUUGAGACCACAGAGACUGACGUUACUUGAGGCAGAGUAAUCUUAUUUAAGUGGGAGUUAGUGGAGCCCAAGAUCCUGAUUGUACCAUCUCAGUGAUGAAUUAAUUCUUCAUGACCACAGGUGAACACGAGAAAAGCACGCAGGGGGCCAUGCAAGCCCCGCAUGGCCUUUUGGUGAGAGGCAGGAGCCAUUUCAAAGUGAUAAACAGCUGAACACUGUGCUGGCAUUAAUGCAGCCGCUAAGAGAAUUUCUCUUAUGUUAAUCUAUGAAUUUCAUAGCCCAACACUCCAUUACUUAUUUAUAGAUUUAUAGCUCUUUCCCCUCCCUCCCCCUCCAAGCAUCUGGCUGCUGUGUAUGAAACACACAGUUGCAAUUACAAAAUGUCUUCUGAAAAACUAUCACCACCCCUGUCGCCCACUGCUGCGAGUCGGGGUAGUAGGCAAUUACAGACUUUGCACGCUGGUUGUUGGCUUGGCACCUGCAGGCUCAGGAGCACCCGCUGAGCACCCAGGGUGCCACCCAGGGCCCACCCCACACUCUGGCUCAGCUUAUGCCAGAGCUGGGACCAGUUGCUGUGCCAGGGCGCAGGGUGGGACCCAUGAACAGGGACACUUUCCUCCAGCAGCAGUGACAGCAGUCUCCGUUGCACCUCAGAGGGGUGUAGGUGGCUCUAGUCCUCCCUAGUGUUUAUGUCAGUAAUAGAUCAGUUAAUAGAUCAGUUAAUGGUAUCUGCUGCAUCAUUUUCUCCUGUGAGCAGUAUUUUUUGUUGUGCAUUGGAGCAACAAUCCUACAUGUGGAAAACUGUUCUUCUCAGGAACUGUGUUUUGGGCUGUCUCUGGGCUGGGGAAGUAUUGCUGUGUGUAUUGUGUAGGGUUGUCUUUUAAAUGAUUUUGUACAUAUAUUUUUAUAGUUUUUAAUUUUUGCUGUGAUUUACAUCCAAGCUGUAUAUUUAACUGACUGCAGGAGUUGGGAUCCUCUUCGGAACCAUGUGAGAGGAAAGGCAGCCCUGGGAGUGUGGUCCUUAUGUGGAGGCUACCUGGCUGCUGACAUCUCCAGGUGCAGUCCUAGGACUUCACAGAAAUUGGAAAAAAAAAGCAUUGCUACUGCUGUGAGAGAUUCAAUAAGAAAAGCAACGUUCUGAAGAUAAAUAUGUUACAUAUGCAGUAUGAGUUUGGGAGGGUAACUGGUACCUCUAAUAACAGCCAGGAGCAAACAGAUAGCUGUGAGAGAGUACAGCGCAUGCUUGUGUGUACCACAGUAGGUCAUGCACAUUAUGUUUUCUGCCAGACAAGAUUUCUCUAUAUGUUUCAGAGAUAGCCCUAAGAAAAUUGUUUCUCGGCAGUGAAGAUGCAAAGCUCAAAACGCAAAGAAUAAAAGUUGCACAGUCACUGGCGGAAGUCAACACUUGCUACCUGUUAUCACAUUGUGCUUUCUAAUAUGUCUCUAUUAUUUCCACACCAUGUGCUGUGCUGAAGCGCUGAGAUCUUGGUUAUAGCAGUUACCUUCGUCAUAGCGUUGAUGGAGGGUUCAAGGACCUCAAGUGACAUUAAGCUGAUACCUGGUUCCUCAAUACCAAUACAGAGGCUUUAGGAGCAGCUGCCUUGUAUUAUUACAUUUUACCUUGCAAGUGCUUCAGCUGGGAUGUAUUAUCCUGCAAAGCUCUUAGUCAUUUUAGUACUUCUGCCUCAUAUGCUUUUGUAUUGUCAUUGAAUAUAUUUGUGGUGUCUAGGUGUUACUGCUGGUAUCUUUGUAUUUUCCUGAAGCUGAAGGACGAUAUCACUUAGCUUUGUAGAUAUAUACAUUUUUUUUCUCCCAUAUGUUUCUAAUAAAGAGUUUUAAAAGAUAUCAUGCUUAUCUUAAAGAUUAUAACAGAACUGUUCUGCUGCUAUUGACAAAAUUGAUAAAUAAUAUUCUUCUAUGGCUGUGUCAGUACUUCAUAAUAUUUUACAAAGAUUCUGUUCUAUUUAAGUGAACUUGGUUUUCUGUUGCCCAUUAACUUCCCAAGUAUUUUUAUAAAAUUGCUUUACUUACAGAAUAAUUAAAAGAUUAUUUUUUAAAAAAUGCUGUUUCUAAUCCAGGCAGGUUUGCAAGUGUUAGUAGGAAGUUCAAUGGCAAGAGCUGAGUCAAAUCUGAAAUUCUUGAUUAGCAGCUUUAAUCCUACUCUGAAAAGGACCUACACAGAUAGCUCUCUGCACCUGUCAAAACCACUAUCAUAGUAAUAAUUUAUUUUACCACAUUAUUCAAGUCCUUUGAAUUCAAGCCUUCUGCACAGGAGAGCUGUGUCUCAUGCCAUGGACCGAGUAGGUGACAUAAGCCCAUUUUCCUCUAAGGAGGUAUUCCAGUAGGAAAAAUAAUUUAUGGGGGAAGACAAUAAUUUCCUAAGUUUCGAUGCUUUUGUUACAUGACUGUCAUCUUUCAAAUUCAAGAGUUCCAUCUAGAGGAAUCCUAUUUCAUGAGCCUGGUUUUGCUGGCCUUCUAAUGUGUGUCAUGUUAGCUGGCUGAAAAUAGAUGAAUUAAUUCUUUUUUUCUCAGUUUUCUUUGUUGAAUACCUAUGAAUUUUGUUGCUUCUCCCUGACAGUUUUUGAAACAACAUUUUAACAUCAGUAUUCCCUGCUUGUGCUUAAGAUAUCUCUACGUUUCUGUUUACCGGGUGUGCUGAAGAGAGAGAAAUUCAGUUCGUGUCUGACUGUCACUUAUGAAUUUGUAGCCCAGAAAGUUACAAGGCUCAGAUUUUCCCAUCAACAGAAAUAAAAUAUAUCCUUAAGCAAAAAAAUAUUUAGUGUAGCUGAACAGACUCUGGGAAUAAUAAAACUGUGUAAUAAUACAAAAAAUAUUGAAUGCAGACAUACCCACUAAGAACUAAUGUUUCUGGAAAUAGAAGUAAAUAUUUGUUCAGUUUGUUUUAGGAGCCACUGUUUCCAAGUCUGUUUUUCUUACCCCAUAGAGAAAUCUGGAAAAAAAAAAAAUCAAGAAAAAUCAAGAUGAAAUGCAAACACAAGCAAUUUACUAUUGUCUUUUGGGGUUAGGAAUUAAUUUUUUUUUUUUUUUUUAAUCUUUUAUCUUGUAAACCUUUUAGGCCCUUCUGCAGCUCAGAUACUCCAGUUUCUCUUUUUUAAUAUUCUUUGUCAUACAGAGAUGAAAUACCUUGGUAAUAUUUAAUAAUGAAGUCUCAUAUCUAAAACUAUACUAGUAUGAUCACAGAAUCGUAGAAUGGUUUGGUUUGGAAAGGGACCUUAAACAUCAUCUAGUUCCAGUUCCCCUGUCACGGCCAGGGAAACCUUCCACUAGGUCACGUUGCUCAAAGCACCAUCCAACCUGGGCUUCGACACUUCCAGGGAUGGGACAAGCACAACAUCUCUAGGCAACCUGUUCCAGUGCAUCACCACUCUCAUGGUGGGUAUUACUGUCUCUCACAGUAUCCUCCUGGACAGGCACACAGCACACAGCUGGGUAAACACACAAGGCCGUGGGUGAGCAAUUGGCCGACAGGCCGGGCUCAAAGGGUUCUAGUAAAUGGGGUAAUGUCGGGCUGGCGACCAGUCAUUAGUGGGUUCCGCAGGGAUCCAUCUUAGGGCCAGCACUCUUCAAUGUCUUCGUAAAUGACUUAGAUUCAGGACCUGAGGGAUUGCUUAGUAAGUUUGCUGAUGAUACAAAAUUGGGAGGAGCUGUCAACACGCUCGAAGGCAGAGAGGCCCUGCAGAGGGACCUGGACAAAUUGGAGAACUGAGCAAUUACCAACUGUGUGAAGUUCAACAAGGGCAAGUGCCAGAUUUUGCACCCGGGACACGGCAACCCUGGCUGUACAUGCAGACUGGGGGACAAGGUGCUGGAAAGCAGCUCUGCAAAGAGGGGUCUGGGGGUUCUGGUCGAUGGCAAGUUGAACAUGAGCCAGCAGUGUGCCCUGGCAGCCAAGAGGGUUAACUAUGUCCUGGGGUACAUGCAUCACAGCAUUGCCAGCUGGGCAAGGGAGGUGAUUGUCCCGCUCUGCUCUGCACUGGUGCAGCCUCACCUGGAGCACUGUGUGCAGUUCUGGGCAACACAGGAUAAAAAGGACAUAAAGCUACUGGAGAGUGUCCAGAGGAGGGCCACAAAUUUGGUGAAGGGUUUAGAGAGGAAGCCAUAUGAGGAGCAGCUAAAGUCACUGGGUCUGUUCAGCCUGGAGGAGACUGAGGGGAGACCUCAUGGCGGCUACAGCUUCCUCACAAAGGGAGGAGGAGGGGCAGGCACUGAGCUCUUCUCUUUGGUGACCAGUGACAGAACUCGAGGCAAUGUCAGGAAGAUGUGCCGGGGGAGAUUCAAGUUGGACAUUAGGAGAAGGUUCUUCCCCCAGAGGGUGGUGGAACACUGGAACAGGCUCCCCAGGGAGGUGUCACGGCCCCAAGCCUGACAGUGUUCAAGAAGAGACUGGACAGUGCACUCAGGCAUGUGGUGUGAAUUUUGGGGUUCUCCUAUGCAGGGCCAGGAGUUGGACUCAAUCUUUGUGCAUCCCUUCCAACUCAGGGCAUUCUAUGAUUUUGUGAAGCCAAUUUCUAGAUAUUUAUGUGUAAGUGAAACUAGAAGCUUUAUGGGAAUAGGUUUUCAAUAGGUUGUACUAGACAGUGUGUUUUCUGAUGUUUUUACUGAAUUUAGUUUUCAAAUUUCUCUCCAUGUAAAAGCACAAGUGGAUCUUAGCAGCAGUAAAUUAAAAUGGUGCUAAGUUUUUGUUUUUCCUGUUUAAUUUUAAUGUUUUUACACAGUAGUGUAUUGCCCUGGCUUGUUUCUCCCCAUCUCCAAUUGCUGUUGCUCCUGUUUAAAUAUUUGAAAUGACAGUUUCUUCCAUGACUUGGAUGCAUGCCGAGGAGGGCAGCAAAGCUGGGGAAGGGGCUGGAAGGCAUGUCCUGUGGGGAGCCGCUGAGGACCCUGGGUCUGUCUGCUUUGGAGAGAAGGAGGCAGAGGGGCAACGUCACUGCUGUCUCCAGGUUCCUGAGGAGGGGAAGUGGAGAGGGAGGUGCUAAGCUCUUCUGCCUGGUCCCCAGUGCCAGGAAACAUGGGAAUGGCUCUCAGCUGUGUCCAUCAGGGGCGGUUCAGCCUUGACAUGAGGAAACAUUUCUUUAUUGAGAGGUGGUCAAACCCUGGAAGAGUCUUCCUGGAGAGGUGGUCGAUGCCCCACGUCUGCCAGUGCUGAAGAGGCAUUUGGGCAACAUCCUUAGUACCAUGCUUUAACUUCUGGUGAGUGCUGAAGCAGUCAGGCAGCUGGACUAGGUGAUGGUUACAGGGCCCUCAGUCUGAAGCAGGCCAUGCUCCUCACCUAAGGGCUUGCGAAUCUUUCUGAGGUGAACAAUACCUGCUCAUUUCCUGUGGAUUCUUUUUUCAUUCUUGUACUCAUUUUUAGAAUUACCCUAUCAGUUUUUCAUGAAAAAACAUGCUAAAACAAAAGAGUCUGAGAACAACAGUACUCUAACAAAGAGAAGGUCCAUAGGGCUGCUCCUAGGGCUCAGUGUCUGAGACUGGCCUUCCCUGGGACCCCUGCCCACCGCCACCGUCUCCUGCCAAGGGCACAGGGGACGUGUCUCAGCUCAGCCUGGGACCUUGGGUCCCUGCCUGAGCUGAGUUGCAGGUGUGUGUGCCCGUCUCGUCUCGGCCUCUGUCCCUGGCUGGGCCUGGGCCCUGCCCUGCAGAGAGAGGCUCUCCUGGAUGGAUGGAGCCCUCAGGGCUCUGUAAGAACUUGUCAUGCAGAACUCAAGGCAUAACACAGCAUAACUAUUAAAUUCUUUUCUAUUCUAUCCUAUGUAUUGUAUUCUAUUCCAUGUGCUCACCGUGAGUCAGAUAAGGAUGGGAAUAUUAUUUACAUGAAAUGCCAGGGGGUUUUCAGCUCCAGAAACACUUUCAAGGACACAGAACACAAAGGAUACGAGUGGAAACAGGAUUUGAUUAUAUUUUAUUUUAUUUUAGGUUAUUCUAUGUCAUCUACUGACUCUGUUUACAGAGCCGAUGCUCAUGAGCAUUAACACAAUGCCCAUGCGCAGCCAGGAGCAGGCUGAUGCAUUCUUCAGUUUACCUUGAAGAAACAUCCCUUGCAGGCUGGCAAAGGCAAGUUGCAGAACUGCAAGAACAGCAGCAGCAAUCUAGGCCAAGCUGUCCCUGUGUCCUGAAGAGGGAGAAUGUGAGGAAUGAGGAUCAGGACAGACCACACACAAAAGAAGAUGAGGAAGGAGAAGAAGAUGAGGAAGAAGAAGAGGAAGAUGAGGAAGAAGAAGAAGAAAAACAAGAAGAAGAAGAUAAGGAAGAAGAAGAGCUGCGUGAUACUGUGAGGUAUUUUCCAAAGUAUGGCAGAUAGUGAUGACAAACAGAGUUUUUCCCCUUUGAAAACUUUCUUGGUUCCUAUGCUACUUGGCUAGGGCUGCAUGAAAAGCGCUCUUGUUCCUGCGCGGUGCUUGGGUUGCAUGCAGGGAGAGCUGAAAAGUGGGAGAUCCAGAUGGUGCAGCAAGCUGGGAGCCCUUCCAAGCACAGGCUGUUUUGCAGCAGCCAGAACCCCUGGGGGAAUGGAAUCCAGGGAAGAGAAGAGCUGGCUCCUGCUGCAAAGUUGCUCUGGGCAAGAAAGCCUGAGAGAGCUCAGGCUGAGGGCUGUGCUCAGUGCUGUGGAGGACAAGAAGGAAUUCCUAGGAGAACAUUUGGGACCCACCCUGGGACUCCAAGAAGCUUCCUCCUCCCAGCUGCAGGGCACGAGAGACCAUCUUCCUGGUGCUUUAGCAGCAGGCAGGAACCAAGCCAAAAGGGCUCAGAGGAGCUCUGAAAAGUGGUCAUGCUCAAUGCUGCAGAGGAAGGCAAAAAACCCCCGGGGACCAGUGCCAAUCUGCCCCGGGGGAAAAUUCCUUCCUGACCCCAAUGCUGGCGAUCGGCUGUUCCCUGAGCAUGUGAGCCAGACCUGGCUCCUUGUCCCAUAGGCCGGUCAUGCCUCCCAGGAGCUGCCCAAGCCCUAUGAUCACUAAACCGGGAGUCAUCUCAUGGGCUUCUGAGAGUGCCCAGAUGACUAUGGCCAGAUUGAACUUGAGGGCAAGAAUCCUUCCUGUGCCUGUCAGGACAGCAGGGGCUGCUUCAAACCACUGGGAACCCUGGCAACGUCUGUGUAUCCUAUUGCUUACCACUGCUGCCCCUGGCUCUGAAGGGGAUGAAGACAGUGAGCUCCGCAGUGCUCCUCCAGAAGUCAUUCCCUUGGUCUUACCACUUCUGUCCAGCUGAAAAGACCUGAUAGCCUUGGGUACUUCUAGGGCUUGGUGGUUCUUCUGAUCUCCUGAGGGGUAUGCAUCUGUUCGCUGAACAGCGAAGUAGGAUUUCUAUCCAUCAGGUGCAUUUUGAACUUAAUCCUUUGCCAUUCCGAUUGUUUGUAGGCAGUUUGUAGGUUGCUGAAGGUUUGUGAAUCGAGGUUGUUUGUUUAGGGCUUCUUGUUUCAGCCUUGUUUGGUUGGGGUUAGUUGUUUCAGGUUGUUUAGUUUAGGGUGGUUGGUGGAGGCUAUUUUGGUUUAGAUUUAUGUUGUUUGUUCUAGGCUGGCUUAGGUAAUUUGGUUUAGGUUGGUUGAGGCUGGUUGGUUGGUUGAGGUUGGUUGGCUGGUUGAGGCUGGUUGUUUACAGCUGGUUGUAUUUGGUUGCUUUUUUUACACUGAAUUAGGUUCUAAUUAGGUUGUUGGUAGAUUCUUUCUUUCUACCUUGUUUGAAGCUUGUUGUUUUGAAGGUUGGUUGAAGUUGGUUGCUUUGGCUGGGUUUCCAUGAGUUCUUUACAUUAGUUGUUUUAUGAUUCAUUUCUGUGGUUGGUUUUUGAUGCUGUACAAGGUUGUUUCUAGGUUCUUUGUAGGUUCUUUGUAGGUUGUGUGCUUGUAAGGCAUUUAAACCUUGUUGGUUUAGGCUGUUGAAGGCUGGAUAAGUUUGGUUUAGAUUGGUGGUCUAACGUUACUUGUUUUAGGUUUCUGUUUUAGCUUGGUUUAGGUUAGUUAUUUCAAGUUGGUUGUUGUAGGUUGUUUGAUGUCAUUUUGUGAAAGUUGAUUUGUGUUGUUUGUUUUAGGUGUGUUGGUUUUCCUCGUUUCUGUUAGGCUGUUUGGUUGAUGUUUUUUCAGAAAGGUUCUUUGGGGUAGGUUGUCUUAGUCUGGUUUAGAUUUUCGACUGAGGUAUCUUGGUUCAGGUUGUUUAGGUGGUUUUAGUUUUUUUUGAGGAAGGUUGUUUGAGGGUGUUUGUUAGAGGCUGUUUCUUGGAGGCUGAUUGUUUAAGGUUGGUUCUUUUAGGUUGAUUCUUUUAGGUGACAUGUUUUAAGCUCUUUUUGUUCAGGAUGGGUGUUUUUUGUUUGUUUUAGGUUGGUUUAGGUCAUUUGGUUGAGCUUCUUUGCUUUAGUGUGCUUUAGGUCAUUGGAUUAAGGUUAUUUAGAUUAUUUUAGGUUGGAGGUUUUAGAAGGAGGUUUGCUUUAUGUCAUUUGGGUGGGUGUGUUUCUGUUGAGCUAGGUUUAGGUUGGUUGGAUUAGGUUGUUUGAGUUGUUUUUAGGUCAGUUGGUUUGAGUUGUUGCUUUAGCUGGGUUUCUGUUGUUUGAGGGUGUUUUUUUGAGGCUGGUUGUUUGAGGAAGGUUGCUUGCAGUCUGUCUCUUUGUAGGCCAUUGAAGCUUGGUUGUGUGGGGUUGUUGAAGUUGGGUUUUGGUUGGUUGUCUUAUGCUGCUGGAUUUAGGUUUGUUGGUUUAGGUUUGUUGAGGUUGGUUAGUGGGUGGCUUGAGGUUGUUUGGUGUCAUUUUAAAGCUGAGUUCUAUUGUUUGGUUUAGGUGUUUUGGUAGUUCUUGGUUUUUUGAGGUUGUUUGGUGGAUAUUGUUUCAGGAAGGUUCUUUACGGUUGGCUACUAGAGUUUGGUUUAGGUUUUUGGUCUAGGUGUCUUCUUUCAGGUUCUUUAUGGUUGGCUACUAGAGUUUGGUUUAGGUUUUUUAGGUUUAGGUCUUCUUUCAGGUUCUUUAGGUUGGCUUAGGUGGUUUGAGGCUGGCUGUUUGAGGCUGGUUGGCUGAAGCUGGUUGCUUGAGAUUUGUUGCUUGGUUGGGUUUGGUUGUUUACAGUUGUUUGGGUUUGGUUGGUUUUUUGAUGAGGUUCUGUGUAGUUCUUUGUAGCUUGUUUCUAUCUUCUAUGUUCCUCCCCUCUUUUUCUUUUUGUGUAGCUUGUUUGCUUUACCUUGUUUUUUGAAUCUUGUUUGUUUAAAUGUUGGUUUAAGUUGGUUGUUUUAGCUCUGUUUCCAUUAGUUGUUUUACGGUUGAUUUGUGCGGUUGGUGGUUUGAUGCUGUGUGAGGUUGUGUCUAGGUUAUUUCUAGGUUCUUUGUAGGUUGUGUGUUCGUAAGGCAUUUAAACCUUGUUGGUUUAGGUUGUUUUAAGGUUGAAUGAGUUUGGUAUAGGUUGGUGGUCUUAAAUUACUUGGUUUAGGUUUCUGUUUCAGCUUGGUUUAGGUUGUUUGAUGUCAUUUUGUGAAAGUUGAUUUGUGUUGUUUGUUUUAGGCGGGUUGGUUUUCCUCGUUUCUGUUACGCUGUUUGGUUGAUGUUUUUUCAGAGAGGUUCUUUGGUGGGAGGUUGUCUUAGUUUGCUUUAGAUUUUUGGUUGAAGUUGAGGUAUCUUGGUUCAGGGUGUUUAGGUGGUUUUAGGUUUUUUUUGAGGAAGGUUGUUUUGAGGGUGUUAGAGGCUGGUUCUUGAAGGCUGAGUGGUUAGGGUUGGCUGGUUUGGAUUGGUUGGUUGAGGUGAUUUUUGGUUGAGGUUAUUUAGUUGGUUGGUUUAGGCUGGUAUUUUAGGUUGAUUGUUUUAGGUGGGAUGUUUUAUGCUGUUUUUUGUUUAGGAUGUUUUCUCCUUUUUUGCUGUUGUUUUAGGUUGGUUUAGGUCGUUUGGUUGAGCUUGUUUGCUUUAUCGUGGUUUAGGUCACUGGAUAUAGGUUAUUUAGAUUAUUUUAGGUUGGAUGUUUUAGAUUGGUUCUUUUAGGUUGGUGGUUUCAGUAGGCUAGUGUAUGAAUGUGGUUUUGGGCACAUUUGUCGAAGUAGGUUGGCAAAAUGUGCCAAAGAAGUCGUGGUAAGGGGCCUCAUUUCUGAGAGUGCACCUUGAGGGCAAGAAUCUUUCCCAUCCCUGCCAGGACAGCGGUGGCUGCUCCAAAGCACUGGGACCCCUGGCAGCAUCUCUGCAUCCUAUUUUGUACCGCUGCUGUCUCUGGCUCUGCAGGGGAUGAAGACAGCGAGCUCUGCAGUGCUCCUCCAGAUGUCAUUCCCUUGGUCUUACCACUUCUGUCCAGCUGACAAGGGUUUCCAUCCAAAAGAUAAGCCUUGCAGCAGAGAACUUCCAGCAGCCUUGUCCAGCCUCCAGUCUUCUCCCUCAGCCCCCACCAAGGAAUUCCACCAGCUCUUCAAGGGCUUCCUCUGGGAUGUGUGCGGGCUGCCCCUGGGCCAGCUCUGGCAGUGGACACGGGAGGCUGCUCCCUCUUAUCCUGCCCGGGGCAUUGUGACCGCUGUGUUGCCGGGUGCUGGCAUUGUGACGUGGUGGUGACGGGGCCCCUGUGUGCAGCCCCACCCACAGCCCCACCCGCAGCAGCCCUGCCUGCCAGCCCUCCGCCCAGCACCCUAUGGAGGAAGCCUUUAGGGUGCUGCCCCGAGGCAGUUCCUGUGCCCAGGUGGACCAGGGGCUGUCCCUGCUGUUUGGUGGCCCUGCACUGGGCACAGCUGCUGGGUAGCCCUGACACCUCCUUUUCCGAUCCGAUUGUUUGUGCACUGAUUGUAGGUAGUUGGAGGUUUGUUGUUGAAUGUUCAAUGUUCAAGGUUGUUUGUUUAGGGUUUCUUAUUUCAGGCUUGUUUGUUUGAGGUAGGUUGUUUCAAGUUAUUUGGUUUAGGUUUCUUUGUGGAGGCUGUUUUUCUUUAGGAUGGGUGAGGUUGUUUGUUCCAGGCUGGUUUAGGUUGGUUGAGGCCUGUUGUUUGAGGUUGGUUGGUUGGUUGAGGCUGGUUGUUUACAGUUGGUUGUUUUCAGUUGCUUUUUUUAUACUGAAUUAGGUUCUAAUUAGGUUGUUUGUAGAUUCUUUGUUUGUAGGUUGUUUGUAGGUUGUUUGUUUCUACCUUGUUAGGAGCUUGUUGUUGUUUUGAGUGGUGGUUGAAGUUGGUUGCUUUAGCCAGGUUUCUGUGAGUUGUUUUAGAGUGUUUUGUUGAGUCUGGUUGUUUGUUUGAGGUAGGUUUUUUGCAGGUUGUGUGUUCGUAGGCCAUUUAAGCUUGAUGGGUUUGGGGCUGUUGAAGUUGGGUUUUGGUUCAUUGUCUUCGGUUGGUCGUUUUAGGUUUGUUGGUUUAGCUUGGUUGAGGUUGGUUAUUUGGUGAUUUGAGGUUGUUUGGUGUCAUUUUCAGGUUGAUUUCUGUUUUAGGAAGCCUAGGUGGCUGUCUCUGCUGUUUGUUGGCCAUGCAGUGGCCAGAGCUGCUGCAUUUUUCUGACGCCUCCUUUUCCAUUUAGUUUCCCAGGACAAACCUCAUGCAUUUACUCUUGUCUGGGGUUUUGGCAGAAAGAAGUCCUGCAAGCCAGAGACUAACGAUAUUAGCUCUGCCCCGUGUGCACUAGAGGGUUACCUUUUGCUACCUAGUUAUCUGAGUGUGAGGUACGCCAGUGCAGGAACAGUACCUUUCCAUUUUUGGAGACUGAAAUUGUAAGGGAUGAUUCUUCUGCAGAGGGAUCUGAACAGUUCGAGAACUGGGCAGUCACCAGUCGCAUGAAGUUCAACAAGAGCAAGCACCAGAUUUUGUGCCUGGGACAUGGCGACCCUGGAUGUACAUCCAGACUGGGGGAUGAAAUGCUGGAGAGCAGCUCUGCAGAAAGAGACUGGGGGGUUUUGGUGGACAGCAAGUUGAACGUGAGCCAGCAGUGUGCCCUGGCAGCCAAGAGGGGCAACCGUGUCCUGGGUGCAUCCAGCACAGCAUUGCCAGCCGGGCGAGGGAGGUGAUUGUCCUGCUCUGCUCUGCACUGGUGCAGCCUCACCUGGAGCUCAUGGUGGCUACAGCUUCCUCACCAGGGGAGGAGGAGGGGCAGGCACUGAUCUCUUCUCUCUGGUGACCAAUGACAGAACCCGAGGGAAUGUCAGGAAGAUGUACCAGGGGAAGUUUAGGUUGGAGGUUAGGAAAAGGUUCUUCCCCCAGAGGGUGGUGGAGCACUGGAACAGGCUCCCCAGGGAGGUGUCACGGCCCCAAGCCUGACAGUGUUCAAGAAGAGACUGGACAAUGCCCUCAGACACAUGGUGUGAACUGUGGGGUUGUCCUGUGCAGGGACAGGAGUUGGACUCGAUGAUCCUUGUGGGUCCCUUCCAACUCAGGACAUUCUAUGAUUCUAUGAAAAUAUAUAUCCAUGCUAAGAGUGUAACAGUUUUCCUAUGCUUUAGGAGCUUUGCUGGUGUAGCCAUAUUGGCAAAGCCUUCAUGCUUAAAUUCUGAUCAAUUUUUAAAGAAAACCCUUUGAUAUUUCCCUAAAAAAUAACUAUAGCAAAGGUGUAGUGAUUCUGGGUGCUACAUUAGAAAACAGAGGGCAGGGCAGCAAGGUUGAGAUUGUAAAAGCGAGUCAGCCGUGCUAUGUCUGUGUGGCUCAGUAAAGGAAAAAUAAGGGGUCACUGCAGCUGAGUUAUGUGGAAUAGCCUGCAUUUAUAAUGCUUAGAUCUAGUCCCUUAGUAGCAGAUCUGUGAUAGAAAUAUCUGAUUGAAACAGUCCAAAACAGAACUUGCAAGGCAAUGACCUAAGAGUUAACUAGUAUGAAUAAUCAGAAGGUCAGUGAUUGCACCAGAUUCUUGGUUAGCUUUUACUUAGAAGUAAUGAUUUCCUUUUAAUGACAUGGCUCACAUGUAAAGUGCAUUUCUCCACUUUGUGAUAUUUUUUUUUCUCUCAAGCUCAAGGUAGCAUGAAUUAAUUUUUACCUAAUUUUACCCAAUUAAUUAGAAACCAUAUCAUAUUUCUGAUUUUCAGCCAAGGCUGAUUUCAAUUUUGAUUACGUUGUACAAAAAAUAGAACUUCUUUACAGUGUUGUCUUUCGUUUCCUUUUCUGCCAACAUUUUCUGAAUUUUUUAAAUGUCAUUAUGAAGACAAAUUAAGGUCGAUUUCAUAACCUCAGGUUUAAAUUUGUUUGUGUUUUUAAUGAAGCCACAUUGUGGUGUGCAAUCACAAGUUACUUUAUCUAAUCCGACACCUGCCACAUUGUUUCUGUCAAUGUUAACUUUAGAGUUUAUUGUAAUUGUUGUCAGCUUCCUCCCUCUUUAUUUUGUAACUACCUUUGCAGUUAGGUAAUUUUCGGGAAUUUAGCAGAGGCAAAAUGUAAGUUUUCAUUAUUUUUAGUUGUAUAUUAUACUGUUUAACCACUGAAGUGUCUAAGAGCAGACAAAGUCUUCCUUGGCCUUUUUUGAUUUAAAGUUCCUUUCAGCUUGCCAGUGUAAGGUGGAGUCCUUCUGAAAAGAAUUUCAUCGCACGGACUACAGGACUGUUUUUCUUGGUUGCCUUUCAAAACCUCAUCAAGAAAUAUUUCACAGCUCCCUCUGGGUCUGCAGGUUGCAGGCUGAAAAACACAUCUCAGGUACCAGUGAGGAGACCUGGUGACUACAACAAAUUUUGAGUGGCAGAUGAUUUACCUUGACUGGUGAGAUUUCUGAAGUAGACAUCUCAGUUAGGUAUGCCAAGGUAGGUGGAAUGGGUAUGGAAUAAAAUAUGGAAGUAGAAAGUUGAAGGAAUUGUUUAUAGUCUUUUGAGUCAAUACUGGUGGAAAUAGUAUCUCCUUAAUAUUUCACUUGAAACAGAAGAAACAAACUCUUGAGAAGGUGAUCAUCAAGAAAAUGUCAGCAUUGGCAAUCAUUAAUUUAAAAGAAUAGGACCUUCCAGUCUUCACCAGGACCAUGAUCUGAUGCUGUAGUCUUGUAGUUAAAUGCUACUCUGUACAAUCUGCACUGAAACCCAAGGAAUAUGUUCUCGUUUGCUCUUCAUUGUGUUGUUGAGGUGGUGAAAUUAUGGUUUAGUGCCAGCAGAAGGCCAAAUUAAUGGAUAUGUCCAAAUGUAUUCAGAAAUAAGUUGCUUAGUGAGGGUCGUCUAUUUAUUUGCACAUAUAUUUGGUGUACUCACUAAGCAAAAUUUCACCUCACAAGUCGUAAUAUUUGCACAGUGUAAUUUCAGAAAAGGCUGUGAUCCAUAAAGAACUUCCCAAACAAGACAACAGUAAAGUACAUUUAAUUGGAAGAAUUUGUUGUUUUUCAAAACAAUGAGGCUGUUUAAUAAAGGUGAAACAAGUACUAAAAUCCAGAAAGCAGGCAGUGCAAAGUCUACAACACCCUUAGUUUUACCCCUGUGUCCAUACAUGCUCACCAUCCGUCAGCUGAAGUUCCUAACUAGCUGUCGCAUGAAACGUCACUCCAUGGUACUUGCAUUUGCUUUUUGCAUUAUGAUAUUUGCACUGAAACUUACUGUCCAUUGAUUAAGUUGUGAUCUAGACUGGUAACGACUCCAACCCAGAGAAACAUUUAAGUAUACUUUAACAAAUUUAAGCAUAAUUUAAGUGCUCGGUUGUUUGGGACCCAGGAACUGAUCUUUGAAUUUCCCAGGCCCUUGACUCAUUAUAGAGAAGCCCAGUUUUCCUAAGGCAGUAAAUAGCUGAUUGAUGCAAAGUGCAGACUACCCUCAUCUGAACUGCAGAGAAACUUCAGGAAGAUGGACAGAUGCUUCCAUAAAUAGAGAGCGGAAAAUGUCUAAGUUCCUGAUGGAAAGUGUAUAAUUUAAUCAAGGUGGAAACAUUGCAUGGCAAUGUGCUGGUUUCAAUAUAUUUUUUUUUUUUAGAAAAUAAAAUCAACAGUUCAAGUAUUUUCACUGCUGAGUCUUGGAGUCUUGAUGUUUAAAGUUUUUCCAUGAACACACAUACAGAAUCAGGCAUUUGAAUCAGCUGUCAUUUAAUCAGCUGGCAUUUAAAGGAGAAUGGAUGAAUUAGUAGAGGCUACCCAAUAUAAUUUAUAACAAAUUCCCUUCCUGAGAAAGCAGCAGAAUUUUAAAGACCACUUGAGUGUAAUCAUUGGCAACAUCUGCCAAGAAUAAUCAUAAAAGGAGGUAGGCUAGAGGUGGAUUUCAGGAUGAUCUUUGGAGUCCGAGGACUUCACAUUCCAUUAGAGAGAUAUAAGGGCAGAGAUAGGGGACUUUUAUAUAAAUUUGAUUAAUAUAAGUCCUCAGACAUACAUAAUGUACCUCCAGCCAUCAAAGUAUGAUAGAAUUAGAAAUAAGAUGGGUGAUGUUUGUAUACCCUUUUCCUAAACUUUUCAUGGGGUUAUACCAAGUACAGAGAUCAUUUUGGUAACAAAUCCUCUCCAGGGGUCUUCGCAAGAAAUAUCCCAUGUCUUCAUUGUCAGCGUGGCCCGUGAGAAAACUUCUGUUCAAUUUUGUCUAUUUUGGACUAUGAGUGGGCAAAACCUUUGGUAUGAAAGCUUACAAAUUGCUGGUUUUGUGUUCUGUAAAAGCAGCUCCUCCUAAAACCUGCAAAUUCCAAAUAUUUUCCUCUGUUUGGGAACUACUCAUGGAGCAGUGCAGAGAAAAAUGUGCUGAAGCAUUCUAAUGUAAUGAACUUUAAAACAAAAAUUAUUAUGGAACCUUAAAUAAUGGGUCACUACUGUGAUUGUACUAUUAUUUACUUACAGAUCAGAUGACUGUUUAUUUUUGCCUUAGCUUAGUGUGGCUCUCCUUAGCUACAAAAGCAAAAUAUUGAUGAGUCAGGCAGCUAAAACAAGAUGCAGAAUGUAGGAUGCUUCAAAUAAUGCCAAACAUUUUACCUAACAUCUAUCUAAUUAGGAAUUAGUUCCCUACUUAGGAGCAGACAACAGUUGUCUCCAGAAGUAAAGUACCUUUUCUUUCAUCAGUUUUAUCUACAUAGGCUGGAUCUGGAUCCUGACCAUGUAAAUUUGUUUUCUGUCACAGUAGGUAUAGUUAUACAUGUUGUAUAAUUAUACAGUAUAUGUACCUAGGUACAUUUCUUGUAUUUUAAUCUAACUAAUUUUGAACUCCCAGUUAUUUCCUUAUCUCUUUAGAGCAAAAAACAGUAAGGAGCUUCAUCUUAAAGGUUUAAACAGACCUUAGAACACGGAUAGAAGACAUCCAUUUUAACUUUUUAUGCAUUUGGCUGUGUUUAAACUUCAUACAUAAGCUGAUAGGAUUACAGAUGAACAUGCACCAGCCAGAAAGUUGCAGACAACCAAAUAAAACUCCCCUGAGGUAACCCUGAUGUCGUACAGCAGUGUAUUUCAGAUGGAGAGACUGCCAGAGCAGAAGGAUGAUCUAGACUGGCUGGGAACUCCGUGAAACUACCCAGAGAAGACCUUCACCUCCAGAUUUGAAACCAGGGACUGGUGCCUGUGCUUGCCUGACCCCUGCUAGCAGAGGGAGUUGGGAUCCUGCAUUUACCGUGAGGUGUUCAAUAGCAUAGCCAGGGGUCAUUUUUUCUCCCCUCUGACACACAUUGUGGAGGCUUUAGCACUCUUGGAAGAGGUUUUGCGCUCAAAGGCAGAGAGGUAGGUACAUUCAACAAAAAUGCCUUCACAGGCCUGAGAAACUUCAGUGUUUAUCCUCUGUGUUUUGACAUUAAGUACUUCACCUUAUUUGUUUUGCCAGCUGCCUUGGAGAGAUGUGUUUCUGUAAUGGCUCAUCCUGUAAGUUAAAUGGCAACAGUUGGCUGGUUCUUUGUGGUAAGAGUUGCUUUGCAUUGAUACACAUUGAAAGGUCAUUAACAUCCAAAUGGCAGUAGGUGAAAAGCUCACUGGCACAAAAUGUACUAUAUUUUGACAUCAUUGAUUACUCAUUAGCAAUUUUCAAAGGUGGGCUUUUCAAAAUAGAGCUGUCCUUUGAAAAAGUAGCCAGGCCAGAGUAUCUCUGAAUAUGUUGUUACAGGUUUUUGUCUUCUUGUCACUGUGUUUGAACAAGUAUCUCAUCUUGUCCUGGCACCACAGGUUACUCGUUGCAGCUGUAAUAGCAGAAGCUGAUCCCUGUUUUGCUCUUUGAAAAUGUGCAUGCUCAAUGCAAGUAUUAAGAGCUUCAUUCCUCUCCCAAAACAUGUAGGAAAAUCACUUUUUUUUUUUUUCCUGGUAGUCUUUUCUACUUUUAUUUUUAUCUUCUCUAGGGUAUUUUAAAAAGUAAUCCCAAAGAUACUCAAAGCUAACGACAGUGAAAAGGAGCACAAUGCCACUAAAGCUUUAGGUGUUCCAUGCCAGGUCCUCGUGGCAUUAACUAAUGAAGCCCCGCAGCACUUCCAGAAUGCAGCUUGCACUAAACAUUUUGUUAUCUGGACCCCAUCAUAUGUAAUAAAAAUCAGCACACAGAAAUUCAAAUUAACUGGACAGUUGAUAUCCUGUACAGGGCAAGCCAGCUGGUGACUGGGCACCGGGAUGAAAGUGUAGGAACUAGGGAUCUGACUUCAGGUCCGUGUGAGAGUUGUUACAGCUUUUCUAUGGUUCCUAUUGCCUGAAGUGCUUCUGAGCACGCAUAUGCAUGCCAGAGCAAAACAUGGACAUGCACCAACCCCUCAUGCAUUUCUGUCAGUUAUAGAAAAGUCCAGGCCUGGGAGGCUGAGCAGGGUCGUGGUGUGCUGUGGUUAAGCAAAGAAUGAAUACUACAGGGCUCAUAUCCUGGGCUAUGUCAGUAGCACCCAGCUAGUAAGUCCAGACAAAGCUAAUUAUUGUAGGACAAGUCGUUUUUCCUCUAGUUUUUCUUCCCUUUUUUAAUCACCUUGCAUUUUUAUUUUAAUCUCUGGAGGACAGGAAGAACAAGUGUUGCUUAACAGUGUGGACAAAAGUUUAGUGCGACUUUAGUUGUUGCAAAGCCGGGAGUGACUUGAUAGAACUUCCCAAGAAACAAUCACUAUGAUCUUAAGGCAAGACUAGUCCAUAUCCACUAUAAAUUCUACUCUGCCACAUGCCUUAGAUAUAUUAAAUAUACCUUAGAGAUGCUCAAACAGUGUAUUAGCACCGUGCCUUCCUUGUAUACAUCAAUAUGUAAGCCAACUAAACGAGUUCCUGAGUUACCAUGGAGCCAAACUUCACAGAUCUUGGGAGACAGUGAAAACUAAUAAAACAGAAUGAGAGAAUAACUCCCUGGGAGCUGGAUUUACAAAGCCCAAAUAGCUGAACACCGCAUCAAAUAUAUGUCUGCCCCUUUCUUAAAAGAUAACAGAUGUGGAUGAAAUUUGCUGGUCAGAUUCCAUUGUUGGGCACGUCCAUGAUGUACAGCUGGGGUGUUUUUUUCAGACAAAAUACAGCCUAGCAUUUCCCCUGAGGUGAAUUUCUUAAGCCUCUGUGUCUCUGUUGGACUCUGCUAGAACCUCUCAACUUCAACACACUUAGCUUUUUCCUUUCAUCCCAGCAAGCACUGCCCCCAGGGUUUAUCAUCAGGGGCAGUGCUAUUACAAAAAAAAUUUGAGCACCCACCAUCCUCUUGGGCAACUGCAGUGCAAGAGAAAGGAAAGAGUGUUCAUUUCUUCCUGAGCAGCUCAGGAAAUGCAAGCAGCCUUAAGAAAGGAUGGAAUUAAUUUUUCUAAAUGCAGAUACUUUCAUGUGAGCAAGAGGUCCAAGUCACUGGAGAGAAAUGUCUGCUUUUAAACUUCUAUUUUUGCCUGAGAUGAACAACAGCAUAGACCCCCCCAUCGUUGUAUUGAUUAGAUUUCAAUCGAUUAUCAGACCUCCAGAUACUGCUCUGCUGGAAGCAUCAAUGCUGCAGAGGUACCACAUGCAGCAUGCUCUUCCCCAGCAGCCUCUGGACAGCCUGUCUGGUUGCACUGGUACAUGAACAUCCAGGACAAAUUCUUGUUCUUAUUACCUCUUCUCCUGAAACCAGUUAAUUUUGCUCCUCAAAAUCUGAAUCUGGGAAUGGAAGAUAAAACUCAAAGCAUGGGAGUGGGGACUGGGAGAUCUCUGGAGACAAGAAUGUUUCAUUCUCUCUUCACAGAAGUAGAAUAUAGUAAAGUUUUUAUUUUUCUAUUUCUUAUGGGCAUUUACUAAAUGACUGGGUAGAUUAAUUUGUUUUCCAAUCUAAGCAGCUUUGUUACUAAAUUUAACGUGGAAUCCUGUGUGUGUUGGGAAAAAGUCAGCUGUAGUCCCAUGGAUUUUCUCAAAACAUCUUAAAAAACCUACAAGCAAAUUCAACAGAAAUGUGUCCAAUUUUUAGUGAGGCUAGAAACUAUUUAAUAAUCUCAAAUAGAUACUAUGAAUGCUUGUCCCUGUGGGUAAGGUCUUGCAGGAGAAGUAACCAGCUAAUCAGCUAUUAAUCACUUCUUUCCUGUGAAUAGAAAAAUCUGAAAUACUGAAAUCUUCAAACCCUGCAGUGGCUCACAUCAAGCUUCUGGUUAAAAUACUGUCUGUGUUGGAUUCUUUGGUUGUAUGCAAAGGUGACACCAGAAACAGCCAAUACUCUACAAGAAAGUUGUUGGUCUAUUUGGCCAAUGGCUGUUUUCUUUAGGCAAAUAGAUUGUUGCCUGAAGAGGGGAAUAGGACACUGGGGCUGUUCAGCUGUGACCUUCUCCCUUCCCUUCAGGAGCUUUUCUGCUGGAGGACUGUAGGUGGGAGUGGGGGAGCUGCUUUUUGUGGCUGCUUGUCCUCACCUUCUCCAGAAGCAGUAACUGCAACUUGCAUUGCAGGGAGCAGGAUUGGGUCAUUCCUGUGUCAGAAAAUACAGCUAUUGAGUAUUUGAGCACUCUUCCACUUCUGUGACUCAUGAGCCACCUCAGAAGGAUGCGUGCCACAGAAGGCAGUGUCUGGCCAAGGCCCAUGAAAGCAAGGAAAUCAGGUCCUUCUGAUCAGUGGCAGAAGACUGAAUAAUAAAAGCACUUUAUUAUCCCAGGGCACCGACACAGAGACAAGUGGCUCAGUUCUUCUGCCUCUCUGAGGCUCCUGUUGGGGAGAAUCCAUCCCAUGGAUGCCCCUGGCAGGAUCAUUUGUUUCCUGCACAGACAUUGCUGACAAAAUCAGUGCUGUUGACUUACUGCAGAAAAUGGUAUCAGGGGUCCAGAGCAAACUAGUCCUACUGCAGUCCUGAAAAAGAGCAAGUGAUCUGAAAAGACAUCAUUAAACUUCCUUUCUACCAGGUAAAUGAGGAAGCUUCUACCUGGAGAAAAAAGGAAAAGUGCUCUUUUUUGUUAGCUUUCUCUAAAGAGAAAGAUCAUCUUUGAGGUUAUUUUCUGGCAUGUGCCUCCUGUUAGGCCUCAGCCAGCUGAACUGUUUUCAAAAGCACUGGAAUGUAGUUUCAGCAAUUAUCGGUCAAUGGAAACAGAGGCAGUGAGGGUAUUCUGCCAUACGGAAGUCCUGGGUGAAAACCCAUACUUUGUGGCUAAGAUGUCAGAGAAAACAGAUUUAACAAAUUAAUGUGAAUCUAGGGAGCUGAACUCCUUGAAUGUGACUCUGCCCUGAACGAUGGAAAAUCGUAGCUGUUGCUGGAUGGGGGACGGCACUUUUCAACUCCAAUUUCGGACACUUGACUCAAACUCAUCUGAUGAACCUUUUGCCCUCCUGACGGAAAAUAUUUAAUUUCUCACCAUUUAAGAAAUGUAUUGCUUAGAAGGCAUAAUUACUAAAUUAGAGAUGCAGCUUUUGGUGUAAGCCAGCAUAAUCCUUUUACCACAGAAACAUUCCAUUAUACAGUAUUUCGACCACUGUGUGUGUGAAAUUGCUGUCUAAAAUGUGUUACCUAAAAUUGAUACUUGCUUGUUUCAGGACAAAUCUGUUAAAAAAGUCUAAAAGCAAAUUAUGCAAAAUAAAGCAACUUACUCUUUAUUGUCCUGGGUGGGAAACAUUUGAGUUCUGCCUAGUUUCAAAGCAGUUUCGAAGGAAUUGAAAUGGUUUAGUGUCAUACUACAAUGGUGUCAUUUUUAUAGGCUAGUUAAAUUAUUUUCAUGAGACAAUUAAAUGCCUUACCCUGUCAGUGCUAUAUUUGCAAAGGAAUGAGUAGUGUGCUCACUUUGUACUGAGAUCAUGGAAGCACACUGCUCUGAAUGAACUGAGUUUGGUCCAGGCCAAUACACUAUAAUGACUGAUGAUUUGGUAACAGUUCACCAGCAUGCACCAAAGGUUGAUAUCUCUGUUGUGACAAUGGAUAGCCAUUGAAGAUCUCAGUAGCGAAGCCACAAAAAAGUAUUUUUGGAAGUGUUCUGCUUUUCCCAAGCUCUCGCUGAGAUUGGGAGGGGGGCCCAAAACUAAGGGUGAAGACUGGUAAGUGUUUAUGGAGCUGGAGGUACCUCCUCUCUUCAAAGUCUGCUCUCAAAUCUGCUGAGGAGUUUCCCGUUGCCUUUCAGUCUUUGGACCCAUCUGUAUAUGAAAGAAUUACUGUAUUCCUGCCUCUUUUAUGAAGUUCAUUGAAAAGUCUGUGUGAAGGAACUUGGAGUAAUUCUGCUGGUACUUGUGGGUAUACUUUUCUGGAAAGAGAAGUUUCUGUUAUAUGUUGUCUUCUAAGAACAAAAAUCCCUGAAAGGUUCUGGUCCUCCAUGUGAUGUAAUUUGCUUGUACAAUAAUUCUCUUCUUCUGAAUGAAGCCAGAAAAGAGUUUCCUGUUAUAUUGCACAGAAAUUAGGUGAUGUGCGGAUGAAUAUGUCAAAUAAUGGUGUUCUAGUGUAUAGCAAUGAAGUCAACACUAAUAAAAGUUUGCUGUCUCCCUAAAGUGGUCUUGUGCAUUAUAGUGUCAAAUGCUCCAGGUCUUAUAAUGCAAGAAGACAGGAUGUUUCCAAGGCAAUGAGAUGAGGCUAAUCAAAAUGUCAGAUAACACAAGUUUAGAUUGUUUGAAACAGAUCUUUAUGUAAGAUAGUAAGAGGUUCAUUAGAGGGCCACAAACUUAACUUUUUCAUAAAAAGUAAUCUUAAUAAUUUUUUACAUCAAUUCUUACCCCUGCUGCCUACAAAUUUGGAUUGAUAUAUCAAAAUACAUCUUACCUUUAACGUUCCUGUCAAACCUGAGCUGUGAUGCAUGGAGUUAUUCCCUACUUGGAGGGAUGCUUCUGUGAAACAGCUAAUAAAAAUGUGUCACAGACGGUGACUGAUGUCUGUUCUCCAAGGGUGUGUUAGCGUGGGACAAACACAGCAUACAUAUCCUCUUCUUGACACUGAAAAAUGAGAAAUACCUUGUAAAACCCACAAAAGUAUGCUCUAAUGGUCUUGCAGCAACCUUCUCAUUGUCUUUCUCCCUCCUCACACACCUUUCUCACCUCUUGACUCUUUCCCUUCCUGCCCUUGUAGGCUCUGAGCCUACAAUUCAUCUUGCAACGGGGUCCUUGCUGCCUUUGAGCAUGCCCUACACUUUUGCACAGGACAUUGACAGGGUCUGGUUCUCCUUUGUGGAAGAUCUCAGGCUGCUUUUUGCCAGCUUGGACCAUGAGGGGACAAAGAAAGAGCUUGUCCUGGUAAAAUAAGAUAUCGUUAAAAAAUUGAAACAAAACUCAGCAAUGAAUAAAAAUCUCAAUUCCAGCAACCUGGUAAUUUGUCAGUGCCAGGCGUCAGCCCACUAUUAGUCUUUUUCUGGAUAGAGAUGACAGAGCUCUGUUGACAAGCUGUAGGACUUAUUUUGGGAGCUGGCACCUGGCUCCCUGGCACAUCCCCUUGAUGGCUGUGUCACGCUCCUUGGAGCUGCUUUUGGCUCUGUGGAGGUUGCAGCCGGAGCGGGCUGCCCGGCACUCCCAGCCUGCCUACUGGGGAACCGCUCUAUUUAUUUUCAUUUUAUUUAUUUACAUUUCCAUGCACCACUGCGCGCAGGCCUAAGGCUGAGCAGAGCCUGCCAUAGCAGCAGGAGGGACAUCCCACUGCUCAUACAUGUGGAGCAUGAGAGAGAGGUUUCCUCUACCUCAGCCUUCCUCUCCUCCCAUGACCCUCUGUCCCCCUGCUCCUGAGCCUCUACCUCUUGUCCUUGCUUGGUGUCAUGGAUCAGUGGCACUGGACCACCAGAUGCAUCUCCAGGGUGCAAGUCCACCCCAUCCUUUCCCAUGAAAGGCCACGGCAUCUGAUCUGGAGCUUUCCUGCUUCCACUGCAAGAAAAUCUUUAGCAUUUUAAUAUACUUUCACAUUUUUAGAAAUAAUUUAUGUAUGGACAUAGACAGUGCUUAGUAAUCGUUUCUCAGAUGAAUGCGGAAUUUUUCUAAAAUUAAACUAUCAUUCUUUUCUCUUCACACUUGGCUGUCAUAUCUUUCUUAAUGCAAAUCAGUCAUUGACUAGAGACACCUACUGUACAAAGCUAUUUUAGCUGUCUGAUCGGUUAUAAAUUGAUUUUAAAAGUGAAGACGGUUUUGGGGAGAUAAGCUGGAAUUGGUAGGGAAUUGAAAAAAAUAAUUCAAAGGGGAAGUUUUGUAUUUGCAUGUAAGUGACUAUUUGCCUCUGUCUCAGAGCAAAGACUGUAAUCCAGGGGUCUUUCCUCUCUUUUCUCCUGCUUUAACUCUUAGACCAUGAUUCCCCCACCUUCCCUGGCCAUGUAUGAUGCAGAUCCCCCGCGGACCAGGAGCAGGUACCCCAGGGCAGAGCCCAAGGAAAAAACAUUUCCACUUUCAGGCUCCAUUUGAUAGCAGGUGAAAGGGGGAGAUUAUCUCUGAAGGAGCCUGACUACUCUCCUGCUCUGAAGCAAGUCCCUUCUUAAUGCAGGAAUGAAAAGGAAUCCAUUAUGGUUAGUUUCAGAGAAACCUCUCUCCACUGCAGUAUUUCUGCCCGCUAUGCUUCAAGUGCUCUUCAGAGGGAAUAUUCACAUUCUCUGGGUAAAGAAAAUGGCUUUGCUAACACAGCGGUAGUCUGCACAAAGCAAGACUGAUGCGGAGAAUAUUCACUGGGUACAACUUGGGAAGAUGGAAAAAUGUGAACUGUUUUCUGUUUUUCUUUUUUCUGCUCUUUAUUCUUCAGAGCCAGUUCUGAUAUUGUCUUCUGGGACUUGAACAAGAAGCUUAAUUUUUAAGGCAUGUCUGAUUUCUCUCUUUGGAUUUUUUUUUCCUGUUGCUUGCACUGCUGGUUCUUAGCAUGUAAUUAAAUGUAUACAAGCAGUGGCUGACAUUUUCAAUGAGUUCAGUUUGAGUGAAUAUGUUUACAAACUUUAUUGUUUGCAUACUGUGCCUAUAGGAACAGUAGUUAUCCUGAUGUGAGUACUGUGAGAGUUAAUUCUGAAGCCACACAGAUAAAUAAGUAUGGAAAUCAGGCUCUACCUACGAGUACUUCUGUGCUUUGCUGAUUUGUUGAACCAUUUCUUUUUCCCUAACGAAUUACUGUUAAGCAACACUAUUCAGAUUUUUGUCAAAAAUUCUGAGUAGUGUUAAUUGAAUAUAUUUGAAUAAACAAAUGCAUGUAACAGUUGCAACAUGCUUGUAGAUAUUCCGAGAGCAGAAAAAGAACCUAAUAAAUCAAAUCAAUUAGAAAUCUCAUGUUCCUUGCACAGCCCUGUUGUCCCUGAAUGCUCAUAAUUGGGAGUUCAAAGCUGAACAUCCUUUGUUACUUUCACAAAGUUUAAAGAGGUGUUUUUUUAACGUGUAGAUUUGCAGUUUCUCAGAUGUGUUCAGGAUUUUCUGAUGUGCUCCAUUUAAUACAAAAUUCAGGGCAGCUACAAUCCUCCUCUACGCUUCAGUUAGAAACAGAGUCCUGCGAUCGGAUUGCAGUUUUGGAGGGAGACCAAUUGUUAAAGAAAGUGACUCUUCCUUCCCCUUUUCCUUUCACCUAUUAAAAGAUACCCCUGGCUUGGCUUUUAAUGAAGCUUCCUGGAAGGCCUAUGCUGCAGCCUGUAUUGGUGGGGAGGUGUGAUGCCUUUGGCAACGCUGAGUGGCACAGCCUGGAGCCACCCUGUCCUACCGCACUGUAAAGGGAAAGCACUUCCCUGAUCCUUCUGACAGCUCUGUACAUCAGCUGUGCUCGGAGCCUUACACCAUCUGUUUGCAUCUUCGCUGUAACCUCUGAAAGUCUGUUUUAUUAAGAAUUCGGCACCAGAGCCUGGGCUACAAGUGAUUGCAAAUGCGUGACUUGGGGAUAAUUGUGCAGGAGCAGCUGGAGGAAGGCAGCCUAAGGGGCUGUCUCCCCUCUGUCCCGUUUUGCAGCAAAAACCAGUGGGGUGAGGAGGGCUGGCUCUUCUUGUUCCCCUGAAUCAGUAGACGGGUGUACUGUUUGCAGCUGGGGAGAGAAGCACAUCUCUAGGUGCACAGCUGUGCACCAUCCUGUGAAGCAGGAGCCAAACCACUGCUGCACCUUGCACCCUCAGGACACAGCACAGUCCGCCUGAAAGUUGGUCAUGCCACUUCCAGACUUCCCAUCACACUGUUUGACAGGGCAGGUUGUGACUGUCUCAGGGGUACCCUGUGGGCACAGGGUGCCUCUAGGCAGCACGAACUACU